AAGAUAAUGCUGCUUGUCUACAGU
rnacentral:siRNA from 1 species